UCUGCCGCAGUUAGGAAAGGCCGAGAAGUGCGGGCGGAGCCGACCCCGCCCUCCGCAAGGCCAGCCCAAUGGUGAUGGGCCGCGCGCGCGUCGCCGCCUCCCAGGAGCGUCACAGCGGGUGGAAGCCGGAAUCUCGCGACGCCACCGCCGCGCCUGCGCAAACGGCGGCGGGCGGACGCCGGCAGCCACAAAAUGGCGGCGGCGGAGACAGCGGUGGGGGAGAGCCGCGCGUGCCAAACGCCCUCCUCCCACCCCCUCCCACGACUCCAUAGUUCCGGAGUCAUCGUGCCCUCCCGCAGAAAACCCUAGCCACACCCCCGAGCAAAGGUCUCCGCCCAAACUCGGGGGGUUCGGGUAGUGAAGAGGUUGUCCUGCUCCUAUAUUCGUGUUUCAACCAAAUGGCAUCUUUUUCCUCAGACACCCAAAAAGCCUCCUCCCUUGCAGCAAGUUUAAAGAGAAACUUUGACGUGCUUGUAACUAAUGCGUCUGGAAAGUGGAUUUAACGAGAGGGAGGUGUUUGGAAAUCUGCAUUUUCACAACUGCUGCAGAACAAGAAACUAUUUGUACCACAGAAAGGAACCUCUUCUGGUUGAGGGUGUUCCCUACGCGGUAGAUAAUAAAGCUGCCUCGGUUUCCUCAUCUGUAAAACGGGCUUUCUCCAUUCUCAGGUCCCAGUUGGCAGAGGAGAAACCCAGGUGGCCCCCAGCAGCAGACCCAGGACAUCUGACCAUCAGAGCAGAUCAGUGUUUAACAGCAUCCUUCUUGCUACAACAAGUAUUUUCCUCAAGAAUCGUGGAAGGAAACAAAUAAUAAGAAUGGCCAGAAGAGAAACAUAGUGAAGUUUUUCUUGUGUUAAACUUUGUAUAUCAAUUAUAUUGAUACAUAAAGAGUAUUGAUAUAUAUAUAUAUAUUUGAUUUCAACUUUUUACUCCUUAUCAAAUUAUUAUAGCAACAAUGUAUGAUUUGUUUUUAUUUUUUUUUAAUGUAUGUUUAUUUUUGAGAGAGAGAGAGGCAGACUGCAAGCAGAGGGAGGGGCAGAGA